ensembl:lncRNA
UGGUGGUAGUAGUAGUAGCAGCAGCACUGGUGGUAGUAGUAGUAGCAGCAGCACUGGUGGUAGUAGUAGUAGUAGCAGCAGCAGCACUGGUGGUAGUAGUAGCAGCAGCACUGGUGGUAGUAGUAGUAGUAGCAGCAGCACUGGUGGUAGUAGUAGUAGUAGCAGCAGCACUGGUGGUAGUAGUAGUAGUAGUAGUAGUAGCAGCAGCACUGGUGGUAGUAGUAGUAGUAGUAGUAGUAGUAGCAGCAGCACUGGUGGUAGUAGUAGUAGUAGCAGCAGCACUGGUGGUAGUAGUAGUAGUAGCAGCAGCACUGGUAGUAGUAGUAGUAGCAGCAGCAGCACUGCUGGUAGUAGUAGUAGCAGCAGCAGCGCUGGUAGUAGUAGUAGUAGUAGCAGCAGCACUGGUAGUAGUAGUAGUAGUAGUAGUAGUAGUAGUAGUAGCAGCAGCAGCACUGGUAGUAGUAGUAGCAGCAGCAGCACUGGUAGUAGUAGCAGCAGCAGCACUGGUAGUAGCAGCAGCAGCAGUAGUAGUAGUAGUAGCAGCAGCACUGGUAGUAGUAGUAGCAGCAGCACUGGUAGUAGUAGCAGCAGCACUGGUGGCAGCAGCACUGGUGGUGGUAGUAGUAGUAGUAGCAGCAGGACUGGUGGUAGUAGUCAUAGCAGCACUGGUGGUAGUAGUAGUAGUAGUAGUAGUAGUAGUAGUAGUAGUAGUAGUAGUAGCAGCACAAGUAGUAGUAGUAGUAGUAGUAGUAGCAGCAGCUCAGUACCUCUGCUGUGUGUGUACCUGACUGAUCAUCAGUAUCACAGCUCCUGUAUACUACCAGUAUGUGUUGCUGCUGUUCCACCCAGGGAGCUUCCAGCAGCCAGAGCACAUAUUAAUCUAACAACCAGCCAGACAAGUCAGUGACUCAUCAGGGUCCAUGCUCUGAUAAGUAGUCUAGAAUAAGGUUCCGUUCUCGGGUCCAGUCAGUGUUUGCUACGCAGCUGUAACCCUGUCCUGUUUCUGUAAUUACCGUUCUAGACAGGGAUGAGAAGAGGUUGGUUGGAGGUCACCAGAGAAACUCUAGCAUGCUUUUUGACUUGACAUUUAUGGUGAGUGAUGUACUUGACGGUCUUUGGAACCUUCUACCCCACACAUACAAUUAUCUGUAAGGUCCCUCAUCUCUCUACCCCACACACAAUUAUCUGUAAGGUCCCUCAGUCCAGCAGUGAAUUUCAAAUCCAUUUUUAUUUGUCACACGUGUUUAGUAGAUAUUAUUGUGGGUGUAGUGAAAUGCUUGUGCUUCAAGCUCCGAAACUGCAGUAAUAUCUUAAGUUUCACAACAUAUAUCCCC